rnacentral:rRNA from 1 species
UACGUAGGGUGCAAGCGUUGUCCGGAAUUAUUGGGCGUAAAGAGCUCGUAGGCGGUUUGUUGCGUCGGCUGUGAAAUCCCGAGGCUCAACCUCGGGUCUGCAGUCGAUACGAGCAAACUAGAGUGUUGCAGGGGAGACUGGAAUUCCUGGUGUAGCGGUGAAAUGCGCAGAUAUCAGGAGGAACACCUGUGGUGUAGACAGCUUACUGGACCAUUUCUGACGCUGAGACACGAAAGCGUGGGGAGCGAACAGG